GGGAGACAGGCCUGGUUGCUGGGGAACUCACCCUGGGGGCCUAAAGGGAGGCCGGCCUGAGGAAAUGCCGUAGGAGUUGGGAAGCCCUAGGCCAGCAAUUCUCCAGGCUGCAGGGCCUAGUUCUAGGCUUCCUAGGGUACUAAGAAGCAUGGAAGCUCAUGCAUGGUCCUGUCAUCUCGGCUCAAAUAAUAAAGCUCAAUGCAUG